GGAUUAACCGCUUUCAGGAAAUUAACUCACAGUGCAUCUUUGGUGUCACCUAACCACUUAGUAGGAUCAGAUAAUCAAACUACUAAAAAUGUGGGAAACAACAACUACUGUGGUCAUGAUGAUUCUUGCAACACAUUUAAUUACAACUACCUCAACAACAAAUGAAACAACAACUACUACAAUUGAG